rnacentral:rRNA from 1 species
GACGAACGCCGGCGGCGUGCUUAACACAUGCAAGUCGAACGGAAAGGCCUGCUUUCCCUUGUGGAUUGCGGGUACUCGAGUGGCGAACGGGUGAGUAACACGUGAGUGAUCUGCCCCCAACUUGGGUAUAAGCCUGGGAAACUGGGUCUAAUUCCCGAUAGGACUGCAGGGUGGUGCCUGUGGUGGAACACGAUUUUCUAGUGGUUGGGGAUGAGCUCGCGGCCUAUCAGCUUGUUGGUGGGGUAAUGGCCUACCAAGGCGGCGACGGGUAGCCGGCCUGAGAGGGUGGACGGCCACAUUGAGACUGAGAUACGGCCCAGACUCCUACGGGAGGCAGCAGUGGGGAAUAUUGCACAAUGGGCGGAAGCCUGAUGCAGCGACGCCGCGUGGGGGGUGACGGCCUUCGGGUUGUAAACUCCUUUCGACCGCGAGGAAGCCACCUGGUUGGAAGGGUGGUGACGGUAGUGGUAGAAGAAGCACCGGCUAACUACGUG